ACGCACGCUGGCGGCCUGCCUCACCCAUGCAAGUCGCACGAGACCUUCGGGUCUAGUGGCGCACGGGUGCGUAACGCGUGGGAACCUGCCCUUAGGUUCGGAAUAACUCCCCGAAAGGGGUGCUAAUACCGGAUAAUGUCUUCGGACCAAAGAUUUAUCGCCUUUGGAUGGGCCCGCGUUGGAUUAGCUAGUUGGUAGGGUAAAAGCCUACCAAGGCGACGAUCCAUAGCUGGUCUGAGAGGAUGAUCAGCCACACUGGGACUGAGACACGGCCCAGACUCCUACGGGAGGCAGCAGUGGGGAAUAUUGGACAAUGGGCGAAAGCCUGAUCCAGCAAUGCCGCGUGAGUGAUGAAGGCCUUAGGGUUGUAAAGCUCUUUUACCCGGGUUGAUAAUGACAGUACCGGGAGAAUAAGCUCCGGCUAACUCCGUG
rnacentral:rRNA from 1 species